rnacentral:rRNA from 1 species
CGAAAUGCGAUACUUGGUGUGAAUUGCAGAAUCCCGUGAACCAUCGAGUUUUUGAACGCAAGUUGCGCCCGAAGCCUUUGGCUAAGGGCACGUCUGCCUGGGCGUCACGCAUCGCGUCUCCCCCAAAUCCACCCCGAGUGGAGGGGAAGGAGGAU